rnacentral:rRNA from 1 species
UACGGGGGGGGCAAGCGUUGUUCGGAAUUACUGGGCGUAAAGGGCACGUAGGCGGCCUUCUAAGUCAGACGUGAAAUCCCCAGGCUUAACUUGGGAACUGCGUCUGAUACUGGGAGGCUUGAGUGCGGGAGAGGGAUGUGGAAUUCCAGGUGUAGCGGUGAAAUGCGUAGAUAUCUGGAGGAACACCGGUGGCGAAGGCGGCAUCCUGGACCGACACUGACGCUGAGGCGCGAAAGCUAGGGGAGCAAACGGG